rnacentral:misc_RNA from 1 species
AUCCUUCAGUUUCAUUCAGUGACUUAUAACUUCAACGAAACUAAAAUCUUUUCAAGUUUUUCUUUGAUCAUGCAAGGUAAGUUGUUUUCAUUCCUUCCGUUUGAACAUCUUCAAUUCAACUUAAUUUGACUAUACAGUUCUUUCUUGCCUUCUUGGUUUCUUUUGAAUUUUCAAUCUGCCAGAGAUACUUUGGUUCUUAGUUCAUGAUAGGUAUGGAUGAUACUUUAGCCGUCAAAAGGAUCAGUUCUAAGAGUUUAUGAAGUUAGUUGUUUCUGACCAGAAUAUGUACUUACUUAUCAUGUCAGCUCAUAUAAUAAAUGCCCAUUUAGUAUUUACAUGGAGUAUUUUAACUCUGUUUUGCUGCUGGGAAAAAUUGAAUUCUAUAUAUAGUAUUAUUUUUGCUCUGAUCUCACCAGAUUAGUAAGUUGAAUAAGGUUAUUGUUUUCACAGAUCCCAAUUUGGUUUGUUUAUUUUUUUAAUUUUCUCUAUGGCACCUGACACAGCAUUUUUAUGAUUCCCUUUAAUUCUUAUGAGAGAACAAUAAAUGAUCUUGCUUUUCUAGCGUUAUUAUACGAUUACUUACUGUUUUGAAGCGUGCAGUCGAAGAGAUCAUUUUUCCAUUGUCCUCAAUCCCUCUAUUUCUCUCUCUCUUUUAUCUUUCAAUUUCAUGCCAUAUGGUGUUCAGCUUAUGGUUACUAUUUUUCUGUUUAUUUUCAGAUUUUUUUUCUGGAGGAUUGGGAUAUGGAGGAACUCGCCUGGAUCCUUUUGUGUAAGCAAUGAUUUGAAAUUGGUGAUUUUUGAAUUUGCUUGAUAGUGGAUCAAUGAUGGAGGAAAGAAAGUUGAAUUUCAAUGUGCCGCUU